rnacentral:rRNA from 1 species
GACAGAGGGGGCAAGCGUUGCUCGGAAUCACUGGGCGUAAAGGGCGCGUAGGCGGGAUGGCAAGUCAGUCGUGAAAUCUCUCGGCUCAACCGAGAAACGUCGGCUGAUACUGCCGUUCUUGAGGGAUGCAGAGGAGACUGGAAUUCCUGGUGUAGCGGUGAAAUGCGCAGAUAUCAGGAGGAACACCGAUGGCGAAGGCAGGUCUCUGGGCCGAUACUGACGCUGAGGAGCGAAAGCGUGGGGAGCGAACAGG